GACAAACGCUGGCGGCGUGCUUAACACAUGCAAGUCGAACGGAAAGGCCCUGCUUUUGUGGGGUGCUCGAGUGGCGAACGGGUGAGUAACACGUGAGUAACCUGCCCUUGACUUUGGGAUAACUUCAGGAAACUGGGGCUAAUACCGGAUAGGAGCUCCUGCUGCAUGGUGGGGGUUGGAAAGUUUCGGCGGUUGGGGAUGGACUCGCGGCUUAUCAGCUUGUUGGUGGGGUAGUGGCUUACCAAGGCUUUGACGGGUAGCCGGCCUGAGAGGGUGACCGGCCACAUUGGGACUGAGAUACGGCCCAGACUCCUACGGGAGGCAGCAGUGGGGAAUAUUGCACAAUGGGCGGAAGCCUGAUGCAGCAACGCCGCGUGCGGGAUGACGGCCUUUGGGUUGUAAACCGCUUUCGCCUGUGACGAAGCGUGAGUGACGGUAAUGGGUAAAGAAGCACCGGCUAACUACGUG
rnacentral:rRNA from 1 species